rnacentral:rRNA from 1 species
UACGUAGGGUGCGAGCGUUAAUCGGAAUUACUGGGCGUAAAGCGUGCGCAGGCGGUUUUGUAAGUCAGAUGUGAAAUCCCCGGGCUCAACCUGGGAACUGCGUUUGAAACUACAAGGCUAGAGUGUGGCAGAGGGGGGUGGAAUUCCACGUGUAGCAGUGAAAUGCGUAGAUAUCUGGAGGAACACCGGUGGCGAAGGCGACAUCCUGGGCCGGUAUUGACGCUGAGGAGCGAAAGCCAGGGGAGCAAACGGG